rnacentral:rRNA from 1 species
GCACGAAUGGCAUAAUGAUGGCAGCGCUGUCUCCAGCAGAGACUCAGUGAAAUCGAAAUCGCAGUGAAGAUGCUGUGUACCCGCGGCUAGACGGAAAGACCCCGUGAACCUUUACUACAGCUUUACAUUGAACUUUGACCUAACUUGUGUAGGAUAGGUGGGAGGCUUUGAAGCAGAUACGCCAGUAUUUGUGGAGCCAACCUUGAAAUACCACCCUGGUUAUGUUGGGGUUCUAACUUAGGAUUAACAAAUCCAAGGACAAUGUAUGGUGGGUAGUUUGACUGGGGCGGUCUCCUCCUAAAGAGUAACGGAGGAGUACGAAGGUGCGCUCAGAACGGUCGGAAAUCGUUCAAAGAGUAUAAAGGCAAAAGCGCGCUUAACUGCGAGACCCACAAGUCGAGCAGGUACGAAAGUAGGUCUUAGUGAUCCGGUGGUUCUGUAUGGAAGGGCCAUCGCUCAACGG